rnacentral:rRNA from 1 species
GACGAACGCUGGCGGCGUGCUUAACACAUGCAAGUCGAACGGAAAGGCCUGCUUUCCCUUGUGGAUUGCGGGUACUCGAGUGGCGAACGGGUGAGUAACACGUGAGUGAUCUGCCCCCAACUUGGGUAUAAGCCUGGGAAACUGGGUCUAAUUCCCGAUAGGACUGCAGGGUGGUGCCUGUGGUGGAAAACGAUUUUCUAGUGGUUGGGGAUGAGCUCGCGGCCUAUCAGCUUGUUGGUGGGGUAAUGGCCUACCAAGGCGGCGACGGGUAGCCGGCCUGGGAGGGUGGACGGCCACAUUGGGACUGAGAUACGGCCCAGACUCCUGCGGGAGGCAGCAGUGGGGAAUAUUGCACAAUGGGCGGAAGCCUGAUGCAGCGACGCCGCGUGGGGGAUGACGGCCUUCGGGUUGUAAACUCCUUUCGACCGCGAGGAAGCCACCUGGUUGGAAGGGUGGUGACGGUAGUGGUAGAAGAAGCACCGGCUAACUACGUG